GCACAAAUAUUUUAUUAAGGAACUGCACAAAUGACCUGCUGUAUGUUAUUAAUAGACAUUCUUCUUUAAAUGCUGCACACUAUUGACAUUUUAACGGAAAAUAUAAUUGCACCAAAUUAUAUACAGAUGCGUGUGUUUUUUUAAAAUGUAAUACAUUAUCAUUAGCAUUUUUGCAGUAUUGUAUGUCAAUGAUUAUUUAUAUAUAAACAAAGCACAAAAUCCUAGCAUAGUUAUGGUAAACUGCGCAAAUAUCAACUGAUGGGUACUAUAUUUCCCAUGAUGCUUAGCUUAGUCAGCCAUUUAUGGACAAAAUACAAUUCAAUACAAUUCAAAAUUCAUGGGGUAUAACUGCAGAUAUCACUGUUCUAGCAGUUAUUGUAAAAACUUACUUUACUGGAAAAAAAAGCAAUUAAUUAAUUAUCCAUUACCCAUUUUGCCCACUUCCAAAUGUGUAAUAAAUUUUGCACUAAUGUUAUUAUUAUUAAUUUAUAAUUAAAAAUCAUAUAAUUCAGUUCAACAACAUCUGUAAACAAUAUCCAUAAGACUCUUUCUUAGUUAAUUGUAACCCUUUAUUUUCAGAGGGUGCACUGAGCAUGUCCCACAGGUUUCUACUCAGCAUGUGUAUUUUUGAUCGGUUGUUCAGCAAUCUCCAGUUAUUUCAUUCAUGAAAAUACAUGAAUAAAAUAACUACACAAGACUGAAAUGUGGUUUCUUCUAUUUAUUUGAGCAAGCAGUGGGCUUAUAGCUCCAGUGGUUAUUAAAAAUGAAUACAGUUAUAAGAAAACAAUUUUAAAGAGAUAGGGAGCGUUCCUUGCGCUAUAACCCCAUGCGCCAUCAUCACACCAUAAUGUGAAGGGCAAAGGUUGUUGUAAUGCCUAGAAUACCUUUCAUGUCACAUUGACUACAUGCUGUACUUUAAAAUUAAACUAAAAUAAUCUUGCCAUCUAUUAGACAAAAAGGGGACAAAUAUUUUAUUUUUAUUUUGCUUGCGCAUUGCUGUGUUUAAAUUCACUAGAUGAUUAUUUUGGCUAGAUAGAAACCAAACAAUAACAUUGGUAAAUAUAUGUUCUAAAUAACACUAUUGACUAUAGAGUUUAAUAUAUAUUUUAAUAUAUUUGAUGUAGACCCUGGAGAUAUGUGUACAGUGGAUGUGUCCUUAAUAAACAAUAAUGCACUAUGUUUCUGUUCUUUUCUUUCUCCCUUUUUCCUCUAUAUUUCUAAGUGUUAUCUGAAUUGUCUCCAUUGAGUUUUAUUGAUGAUUGAUCUUGUUAGUAUGCUAAUUUCUUUAGUGUCUUUGGUUUCUCUAUUUAAUCUGAUCUGUAUGAGUUGUCUAUUGUUUUUAUUAUGUAUUGAAUAUGGUCUUUGUUCUUGAUUAUUUACAAAUUGGCUCUAUGGGUAUUGGUGACUGUGCUUAAAUAUUUAUAAAAUAAACUCAAAAAAUCAGAAGAGUAGAAUCUGGUACAUGCUGUACAUUUAAAAAUAUAUAAUUUUAUUGUAUAUUAUUGUAAUUUAAACAUUUAUGCAAUAUUGACAUUCUU